GUGGUUGUGGCUCAGUGGUAGAGUGCUUGCUUAGCAUGUGUGAGGCACUGGGUUCAAUUUUCAGCACUACA
rnacentral:tRNA from 1 species